GACGAACGCUGGCGGCGUGCUUAACACAUGCAAGUCGAGCGGUAAGGCCCUUUCGGGGGUACACGAGCGGCGAACGGGUGAGUAACACGUGGGUGACCUGCCCUCAGCUCUGGGAUAAGCCUGGGAAACCGGGUCUAAUACCGGAUAUGACUCCAUGACGCAUGUUGUGGGGUGGAAAGCCUUGUGCGGCUGAGGAUGGGCCCGCGGCCUAUCAGCUUGUUGGUGGGGUGAUGGCCUACCAAGGCGACGACGGGUAGCCGGCCUGAGAGGGCGACCGGCCACACUGGGACUGAGACACGGCCCAGACUCCUACGGGAGGCAGCAGUGGGGAAUCUUGCGCAAUGGGCGAAAGCCUGACGCAGCGACGCCGCGUGAGGGAUGAAGGCCUU
rnacentral:rRNA from 1 species